rnacentral:rRNA from 1 species
GAUGAACGCUGGCGGCGUGCCUAAUACAUGCAAGUCGAGCGAACAGACGAGGAGCUUGCUCCUCUGACGUUAGCGGCGGACGGGUGAGUAACACGUGGAUAACCUACCUAUAAGACUGGGAUAACUUCGGGAAACCGGAGCUAAUACCGGAUAAUAUAUUGAACCGCAUGGUUCAAUAGUGAAAGACGGUUUUGCUGUCACUUAUAGAUGGAUCCGCGCCGCAUUAGCUAGUUGGUAAGGUAACGGCUUACCAAGGCAACGAUGCGUAGCCGACCUGAGAGGGUGAUCGGCCACACUGGAACUGAGACACGGUCCAGACUCCUACGGGAGGCAGCAUUAGGGAAUCUUCCGCAAUGGGCGAAAGCCUGACGGAGCAACGCCGCGUGAGUGAUGAAGUUCUUCGGAUCGUAAAACUCUGUUAUUAGGGAAGAACAAAUGUGUAAGUAACUAUGCACGUCUUGACGGUACCUAAUCAGAAAGCCACGGCUAACUACGUG